GAGAUGAAGGUAAAACACAAAAUGACCGACGCAUGCUUCGACGAGAACAUGUCAUUCUGGCACGAACGUCUUCCCAAGGGGAACAAGUGCCCGACCAAUUUGGAGGAGGCGAAGAAAAUCGUGUGUCCUCUGGAUUUACCGCACGUGAAAUACCAUGUGUGCAUGAACAAUUGCAUCAUUUAUCGGGACGAGCACGCGGAGUCUACCAUAUGUCCGGUGUGCGGCGUCACUCGAUACAAGAAGAGGAAGAAAGCUCCUCGAAAAGUGGUGUGGUACUUUCCGAUCACUCCUCGUCUGCAGCGGUAUUUCACAGACCCUAAGGUAGCAAAGCUCUUGCGUUGGCAUGCGGAUAGGGAGGAGAAGAAGCGAGAAGAUGACGCAAAUGAUCCGGAGAUAGAUAAAAAAGACAAGAUGCUGAGUCACCCUAAGGAUGCGAGCCAGUGGCAAGCGUUGAACUUC
rnacentral:rRNA from 1 species